CGAAUGGCUCAUUAAAUCAGUUAUCGUUUAUUUGAUAGUACCUUACUACAUGGAUAACCGUGGUAAUUCUAGAGCUAAUACAUGCUAAAAACCUCGACUUCGGAAGGGGUGUAUUUAUUAGAUAAAAAACCAAUGCCCUUCGGGGCUCCUUGGUGAAUCAUAAUAACUUAACGAAUCGCAUGGCCUUGCGCCGGCGAUGGUUCAUUCAAAUUUCUGCCCUAUCAACUUUCGAUGGUAGGAUAGUGGCCUACCAUGGUGGUGACGGGUGACGGAGAAUUGG
rnacentral:rRNA from 14 species